UAGAAAUGCGGCACUGGUACGGGUACGGAUCCGACGCCUCUCGAAGGAUACUUAGGCUCUCCGUACCCUACUCUUACUCAAAACGUCCCCGACGUACAAAACGGUAACAUGUCUUUCCAUGUGGGAGAGAGAGAGAGAUAGAGUGUG
rnacentral:ribozyme from 1 species